UACGGAGGGUGCAAGCGUUAUCCGGAUUCACUGGGUUUAAAGGGUGCGUAGGUGGACUAGUAAGUCCGUGGUGAAAUCCCCAAGCUUAACUUGGGAACUGCCGUGGAUACUAUUAGUCUUGAAUACUGUGGAGGUAAGCGGAAUAUGUCAUGUAGCGGUGAAAUGCUUAGAUAUGACAUAGAACACCGAUAGCGAAGGCAGCUUGCUACACAGUCAUUGACACUGAGGCACGAAAGCGUGGGGAGCAAACAGGAUUAGAAACCCCGGUAGUCC
rnacentral:rRNA from 1 species